rnacentral:rRNA from 1 species
GAUCCUGGCUCAGGAUGAACGCUAGCGACAGGCUUAACACAUGCAAGUCGAGGGGGCGAUCAUGAGGUAGCAAUACCUUGAUGGCGACCGGCGCACGGGUGAGUAACGCGUAUGCAACCUGCCCGAUACCGGGGGUAUAGCCCAUGGAAACGUGGAUUAACACCCCAUAGUACUUUAUCCUGCAUGGGAUGUGAGUUUAAAUGUUCAAGGUAUCGGAUGGGCAUGCGUCCUAUUAGUUAG